AGAGUUUGAUCCUGGCUCAGAUUGAACGCUGGCGGCAGGCCUAACACAUGCAAGUCGGGCGGAAACGAUGGAAGCUUGCUUCCAGGCGUCGAGCGGCGGACGGGUGAGUAACGCGUAGGAAUCUGCCUGGUAGUGGGGGAUAGCCCAGAGAAAUUUGGAUUAAUACCGCAUACGCACCAGCUCUUUCGGGAGCGGUGGAAAGCAGGGGACCUUUCGGGGCCUUGCGCUAUCAGAUGAGCCUGCGUCGGAUUAGCUGGUUGGUGGGGUAAAGGCCUACCAAGGCAACGAUCCGUAGCUGGUCUGAGAGGAUGAUCAGCCACACUGGGACUGAGACACGGCCCAGACUCCUACGGGAGGCAGCAGUGGGGAAUAUUGGACAAUGGGCGCAAGCCUGAUCCAGCCAUGCCGCGUGUGUGAAGAAGGCUCUAGGGUUGUAAAGCACUUUCAGCAAGGAGGAAAGGUGAACGGUUAAUACCCGUUUGCUGUGACGUUACUUGCAGAAGAAGCACCGGCUAACUCCGUGCCAGCAGCCGCGGUA
rnacentral:rRNA from 1 species